UUUAUCUGAAAACAUUGCAGAAUGAAUAAUAUGCAAAGGCCUCUUUUUCAGACCUAAACACUGGACCUUUAUUCCACGAAGAAUUUGCAAUGAAGAUGGAGAAUAUUCUGGCUGCACCUGGCCCUCCACCGACAGGAAGGACCACCUUUCCCAGGAAGUGAAGAUCAAACACCUCCAGAGGCAAGGAGAAACGUGAGCAGUCAGAGGUGGACUGUGGAAGGCUGACGAGGACAUGCCUAUAGUAUAAAAGCACUUCUUUUAUUUUUAAAACUGCUGUGUUAUCUGAAUAAAAUCUAUGUGCAAAC
rnacentral:lncRNA from 1 species